UACGGAGGGAGCUAGCGUUAUUCGGAAUUACUGGGCGUAAAGCGUGCGCAGGCGGUGAUGUAAGACAGGUGUGAAAUCCCCGGGCUUAACCUGGGAACUGCAUUUGUGACUGCAUCGCUGGAGUGCGGCAGAGGGGGAUGGAAUUCCGCGUGUAGCAGUGAAAUGCGUAGAUAUGCGGAGGAACACCGAUGGCGAAGGCAGUCCCCUGGGCCUGCACUGACGCUCAUGCACGAAAGCGUGGGGAGCAAACAGG
rnacentral:rRNA from 1 species